rnacentral:tRNA from 4 species
GCCGGAGUGGCGGAACUGGCAUACGCGCCGGUCUCAAAAACCGGUGGUCGCAAGGCCUUGUGGGUUCAAUUCCCACCUCCGGCACCA